rnacentral:tRNA from 1 species
GGAUUAGUAGUCAAGUGGUAAAAGACAUGGUAUGGCCUCUUUCAAUGCUACAUACGCGGAUUCAAACCCCGUCUAGUCUA